rnacentral:rRNA from 1 species
UACAGAGGGGGCGAGCGUUGUUCGGAAUUACUGGGCGUAAAGGGCGCGUAGGCGGCCCGCUAAGUCGAACGUGAAAUCCCCAGGCUUAACCUGGGAACUGCGUCCGAUACUGGCAGGCUUGAAUCCGGGAGAGGGAUGUGGAAUUCCAGGUGUAGCGGUGAAAUGCGUAGAUAUCUGGAGGAACACCGGUGGCGAAGGCGGCAUCCUGGACCGGUAUUGACGCUGAGGCGCGAAAGCUAGGGGAGCGAACUGG